rnacentral:ncRNA from 1 species
UUUAUUGGGGCGGUACGUCUGUUAAACGGUAACGUAAGUGUCUCAAGGCGAGCCCAGCGUGGACGGAAACUACACGUCGAGCAAAAGGGCAAAAGCUCGCACGAUCUCAAUUUUCAGUACGAAUUGGCAGAAUAGUUACCGUGCCGGGCAAAAUGCUUAGCAGCAUUUCGUUCGCCUUUAUGUUUUGAGCUCAAAAUCAGCC